UACGUAGGUGACAAGCGUUGUCCGGAUUUACUGGGCGUAAAGAGCGCGCAGGCGGUCGAUCAAGUCGAGUGUGAAAGCCCCCGGCUCAACUGGGGAGGGUCAUUCGAUACUGAUCGACUCGAAGGCAGGAGAGGGUAGUGGAAUUCCCGGUGUAGUGGUGGAAUGCGUAGAUAUCGGGAGGAACACCAGUGGCGAAGGCGACUACCUGGCCUGUUCUUGACGCUGAGGCGCGAAAGCUAGGGGAGCAAACGGG
rnacentral:rRNA from 1 species